UACGUAGGGUCCGAGCGUUGUCCGGAAUUAUUGGGCGUAAAGGGCUCGUAGGCGGUUCGUCACGUCGGGAGUGAAAACUCGGAGCUUAACUCCGAGCCUGCUUCCGAUACGGGCAGACUAGAGGUAGGCAGGGGAGAGCGGAACUCCAGGUGUAGCGGUGAAAUGCGUAGAUAUCCGGAGGAACACCGGUGGCGAAGGCGGCAUCCUGGACCGACACUGACGCUGAGGAGCGAAAGCCAGGGGAGCAAACGGG
rnacentral:rRNA from 1 species